GAUGAACGCUGGCGGUAUGCUUAACACAUGCAAGUCGAACGGACUCUUCGGAGUUAGUGGCGGACGGGUGAGUAACGCGUGAGAAUCUGGCUUUGGGUUCGGGACAACCACUGGAAACGGUGGCUAAUACCGGAUGUGCCGAGAGGUAAAAGAGAAAUUGCCUGAAGAUGAGCUCGCGUCUGAUUAGCUAGUUGGUGAGGUAAAGGCUCACCAAGGCAGCGAUCAGUAGCUGGUCUGAGAGGAUGACCAGCCACACUGGGACUGAGACACGGCCCAGACUCCUACGGGAGGCAGCAGUGGGGAAUUUCCCGCAAUGGGCGAAAGCCUGACGGAGCAAUACCGCGUGAGGGAAGAAGGCUCUUGGGUUGUAAACCUCUUUUCUUAGGGAAGAACAAAAUGACGGUACCUAAGGAAUCAGCAUCGGCUAACUCCGUG
rnacentral:rRNA from 1 species